rnacentral:rRNA from 1 species
UGGCCGCGGGAUUAGGGUUUGAUUAUGGCUCAGGGCGAACGCUGGCGGCGUGCCUAAUACAUGCAAGUCGAGCGGAUGACAGAGGAGCUUGCUCCUCUAGAUUCAGCGGCGGACGGGUGAGUAACACGUGGGCAACCUGCCCUGUAGAUUGGGAUAACUCCGGGAAACCGGGGCUAAUACUGAAUAAUCCUUCGGACCUCAUGGUCCGAUGUUGAAAGGCGGCAUCUCGCUGUCACUACAGGACGGGCCCGCGGCGCAUUAGCUAGUUGGUGAGGUAACGGCUCACCAAGGCCACGAUGCGUAGCCGACCUGAGAGGGUGAUCGGCCACACUGGGACUGAGACACGGCACAGACUCCUACGGGAGGCAGCAGUAGGGAAUCUUCCACAAUGGACGAAAGUCUGAUGGAGCAACGCCGCGUGAGUGAAGAAGGUUCUCGGAUCGUAAAACUCUGUUGUGAGGGAAGAACAAGUNCCGGAGUAACUGCCGGUACCUGACANACCCAU